CAAUGAUACGGUGAAUACGUUCCCGGACCUUGUACACACCGCCCGUCAAGCCAUGAAAGCCGGGGGGACCUGAAGUCGGCAACCGCAAGGAACCGCCUAGGGUAAAAUCGGUAAUUGGGGCUAAGUCGUAACAAGGUAGCCGUAUCGGAAGGUGCGGCUGGAAUACCUCCUUU
rnacentral:rRNA from 1 species